rfam:Callithrix jacchus chromosome 4, whole genome shotgun sequence
AUACUUACCUGACAGAGGAGAUACCAUGAUCACAAAGGUGGUUUUCCCAGGGUGAGGCUUAUCCAUUGCCCUCCAGAUGUGCUGACCCCUGUGAUUUCCCUUUUUCUAUAUUAAAAUUUUUUUUAAAAAAAGAUCAGCUAAUUAAUAACCUUAAUUUCUUAUA